AACGUAGGACACAAGCGUUAUCCGGAUUUACUGGGCGUAAAGGGCGCGUAGGCGGCAUAUUAAGUCAUUUGUGAAAUCUCCGAGCUUAACUCGGAACUGUCAGCUGAUACUGAUGUGCUAGAGUGCGGAAGGGGCAAUCGGAAUUCUUGGUGUAGCGGUGAAAUGCGUAGAUAUCAAGAGGAACACCUGAGGUGAAGACGGGUUGCUGGGCCGACACUGACGCUGAGUGCGCGAAAGCCAGGGGAGCAAACGGG
rnacentral:rRNA from 1 species